GAUCAUGGCUCAGGAUGAACGCUAGCUACAGGCUUAACACAUGCAAGUCGAGGGGCAGCGGGAAGUCAGCUUGCUGACUUUGCCGGCGACCGGCGCACGGGUGAGUAACACGUAUCCAACCUUCCCGUUACUCUGGAAUAGCCUUUCGAAAGAAAGAUUAAUACCGGAUAGUAUCGAGAGAUUGCAUGAUUACCCGAUUAAAGAUUCAUCGGUAACGGAUGGGGAUGCGUUCCAUUGGG
rnacentral:rRNA from 1 species